CAGUUGCAAUAUAAUCUGGAUACACUGUCUGAAAACGAGCCAAUAACAAACCGUCACCCGUCACCGUCAUUGGUCACAUCAUGUCAAAUCCCAAAGAAACCAAUCAAAACCGCGGGUUUGAUGUUGCUCUCCUGUCACAUUUUCGAGUUUUGAGUUGCUGUGUCGCGUGGUGAACGACAGUAAAAUUGGCGGGGAAAACAUGACAAGUAUUCAGACCUUGAUGACCGUGAAAACAACUAGUGAAAACUACUAAACAGCUAAGGAACACAAGGAAAUCUUGUUAAGAGGUUUAAUACUUGGAAACAAUGUUAAUGGUGACUACAGACUAGAAAGAGAAAACGGAGUAAGCUUACACUUACGGCAGCUGUUCAAAGGGAUGAGGUUCAGAAGAAGGAGUUUGUCAAAAUUGCAGGGCAAGCAUAACCCAAAAAAACUGAAGACAAAAGCUUUUUGAUUUUUGGUAAAGAAGCGAUGAAUACCAACAAA